GGAAGUGAGGGCUAUCUGACUAGAACAUAUUUCACUACAAUGAUGGCCAGGGUUGAUUUGGCUGAUCUGGUUGGCUAGGUAGGUGUCCCCUUCCUCCUUCACCCCUCCACGUGGUUCCUCCUGAAGCUGUGCAUUUGGUGGAAGAAAAUGGUCAUGCCAAAUAGGAGCGUACCAUUCUUUGGUCAAGAGUUUAUGAAUAACAUUUUGCCAGCUACUCUGAGGACCUUUUAGAAGCUUAGGGACAGGAUAAAAAUACAGCUAAUCAAUUAAUAUUUAAUAUUAAAUUUACUACACUCUGUAUUUUUU
rnacentral:snRNA from 1 species